AUGCAGGUUAUGUUAUGCUAUCAGCCUGGAGCAGAUGACGUUCAGCAGAUGUUGGAUCUGGUUGAGUUCAGCGGCUGCAGGGUUCUGUGGUUGUUGAGCGGCCGCUGCGUAGCUCUUGUGUUGGGAUGGGGGUCCAGUGGUCCGCGUGGGCUCUGCUGGAGGACGAGGGCUUCUCUGUGUCGCGUAGCUCUUGUGUUGGGAUGGGGGUCCGGUGGUCCGCGUGGGCUCUGCUGGAGGACGAGGGCUUCUCUGUGUCGCGUAGCUCUUGUGUUGGGAUGGGGGUCCGGUGGUCCGUGUGGGCUCUGCUGGAGGACGAGGGCUUCUCUGUGUCGCGUAGCUCUUGUGUUGGGAUGGGGGUCCGGUGGUCCGUGUGUGCUCUGCUGGAGGACGAGGGCUUCUCUGUGUCGCGUAGCUCUUGUGUUGGGAUGGGGGUCCGGUGGUCCGUGUGGGCUCUGCUGGAGGACGAGGGCUUCUCUGUGUCGCGUAGCUCUUGUGUUGGGAUGGGGGUCCAGUGGUCCGUGUGGGCUCUGCUGGAGGACGAGGGCUUCUCUGUGUCGCGUAGCUCUUGUGUUGGGAUGGGGGUCCGGUGGUCCGUGUGGGCUCUGCUGGAGGACGAGGGCUUCUCUGUGUCGCGUAGCUCUUGUGUUGGGAUGGAGGUCCGCUGGUCCGUGUGGGCUCUGCUGGAGGACGAGGGCUUCUCUGUGUCGCGUAGCUCUUGUGUUGGGAUGGGGGUCCGGUGGUCCGCGUGGGCUCUGCUGGAGGACGAGGGCUUCUCUGUGUCGCGUAGCUCUUGUGUUGGGAUGGGGGUCCGGUGGUCCGCGUGGGCUCUGCUGGAGGACGAGGGCUUCUCUGUGUCGCGUAGCUCUUGUGUUGGGAUGGGGGUCCGGUGGUCCGUGUGGGCUCUGCUGGAGGACGAGGGCUUCUCUGUGUCGCGUAGCUCUUGUGUUGGGAUGGGGGUCCAGUGGUCCGCGUGGGCUCUGCUGGAGGACGAGGGCUUCUCUGUGUCGCGUAGCUCUUGUGUUGGGAUGGGGGUCCGGUGGUCCGCGUGGGCUCUGCUGGAGGACGAGGGCUUCUCUGUGUCGCGUAGCUCUUGUGUUGGGAUGGGGGUCCGGUGGUCCGUGUGGGCUCUGCUGGAGGACGAGGGCUUCUCUGUGUCGCGUAGCUCUUGUGUUGGGAUGGGGGUCCGGUGGUCCGUGUGUGCUCUGCUGGAGGACGAGGGCUUCUCUGUGUCGCGUAGCUCUUGUGUUGGGAUGGGGGUCCGGUGGUCCGUGUGGGCUCUGCUGGAGGACGAGGGCUUCUCUGUGUCGCGUAGCUCUUGUGUUGGGAUGGGGGUCCAGUGGUCCGUGUGGGCUCUGCUGGAGGACGAGGGCUUCUCUGUGUCGCGUAGCUCUUGUGUUGGGAUGGGGGUCCGGUGGUCCGUGUGGGCUCUGCUGGAGGACGAGGGCUUCUCUGUGUCGCGUAGCUCUUGUGUUGGGAUGUGGGUCCGCUGGUCCGUGUGGGCUCUGCUGGAGGACGAGGGCUUCUCUGUGUCGCGUAGCUCUUGUGUUGGGAUGGGGGUCCGGUGGUCCGCGUGGGCUCUGCUGGAGGACGAGGGCUCCUCUGUGUCGCGUAGCUCUUGUGUUGGGAUGGGGGUCCGGUGGUCCGCGUGGGCUCUGCUGGAGGACGAGGGCUUCUGUGUCGCGUAGCUCUUGUGUUGGGAUGGGGGUCCGCUGGUCCGUGUGGGCUCUGCUGGAGGACGAGGGCUUCUGUGUCGCGUAG
ensembl:lncRNA